AAAAAUUAGUUUGUUUAAAUUGAAUUAUUUAUAUAUUGUUUAAGGGCCCAAUUUUUAAAAUAUCCGAGGACCGGCACUGGCCCUAGAAGAACUUGAUUAAAAAUGCUUUUGUCCUCUCUAUCUGUGAAACUUUGAAGCUUGGAUGGGAUUUGUAAUGACCCACUACUCCCACCACCUCCACUAUACCCACUAUCUCCACCAUCUCCACCAUCCCCACCACUCCCACCAUCUCCACCAUCUCCACCAUCCCCAACUUCUUUAAAGAGAAAGAGAGAGAGAGAGAGAAAGAGAGAGAGAAAGAGAGAGAAAGCUCACAUGAGCUCGUCGCCGGAGCAACCGUGUGCCGUGAUCACGUUGAGCUCGUCACCACCGUUCGCUGCAGCUUAGAAUCGCCGGAAACCGCCAUACAGUUAAGCUUAGUUUCGUCCGUUUAGUAAUUCGCCGAUAACUCUCUAACCGUAGAGAAUGUCGUGCAUCCAAGACCAUCAUCGUGUUCCUCUCGUCGAUACGAAGCCGUAGACACCAACCACGCCUCGAACGGAGCCCGGACGAAGCCGCACGCGCCUCCCGAAGAUUCGCCUGCGCGAGCGCGUGAAACACACGCGCCGCCGCCGGAACACCGUUCUCCGCCGCAGCGCCGCCGCCGGACCACCGUUCUCCGCCGUCGCCGCCGGUGACCGACACCGGUGAAUCGCCGGCGACUCGCCAACUCGGCCGAGUUGACCCGAUUUGGAGUCCAUUUGAGCAGCUGGAGUUCAUAUAUACCACUUCUCUUCAUUGCUAAGGUGAGACCGACGAGCAAGAGUGAUUAUCGGACCGGUGCUAUUGGGCUUUUGGGCUUCUAUCGCUUUUACCGCUUUUAUCUUUAUCGGGUCUUUAGGCCUUUGGACUUUUAUCGUUUAUGUUAUUCCUAUUUCAGACUUUCGGUUUAUGUCGUAUUUUAUAUUUCGGAUGUUAUCGUUAUCGGGCCUUUUGGCGUUAUGCUAUCGUAUUGACUUUUAUAUUAUGGUGGAAAUUAUUAUUAUUAUUUGAGUUGUAUUAUUAUUUUAUUUCCGCUUUAAUCUAUUUAUUAUAUUUCGAAAGUGACGGGUGUCACAUUUUGGUAUCAGAGCUAUUUAUUUAUCGUAACAUUUUAUUAUGUAAAUCGGGGUGUCACAAUUUGGUAACAGAGCGGGUUCCGUCCCGGGAUGGCGAUUUUUGGAGACCUGGUUUUAUUCGGUUUUGACGGUUUUAAACGAUUUCAAAAUAUUUUCGGGGAUUUGGGAAUUUAAAAAAAAAAAAAAAUAAAAAAAUAAAAAAUAAAAAAAUAAAUAAAUAGCACCUUUCCGUUCGGUAUCACUCCUUUCUAAUCCAAUUGUUUUUUUGACUAUGAGUUACUCAUCGUCAUCCGCUCUCUAGCUAACAGGAUUUCGGCCAUAGGUUUGACAUAUAGAUGAUGAUGUCACAGUUGAACGGAUUGCUCAGGUGUGUAUCAGUUUCGUCAGCUUAUGACAUGAAUUCGGGGACGAAUUCCAUAUAAGUGGGGGAGAAUUGUAAUGACCCACUACUCCCACCACCUCCACUAUACCCACUAUCUCCACCAUCUCCACCAUCCCCACCACUCCCACCAUCUCCACCAUCUCCACCAUCCCCAACUUCUUUAAAGAGAAAGAGAGAGAGAGAGAGAAAGAGAGAGAGAAAGAGAGAGAAAGCUCACAUGAGCUCGUCGCCGGAGCAACCGUGUGCCGUGAUCACGUUGAGCUCGUCACCACCGUUCGCUGCAGCUUAGAAUCGCCGGAAACCGCCAUACAAUUUGGAGUCCAUUUGAGCAGCUGGAGUUCAUAUAUACCACUUCUCUUCAUUGCUAAGGUGAGACCGACGAGCAAGAGUGAUUAUCGGACCGGUGCUAUUGGGCUUUUGGGCUUCUAUCGCUUUUACCGCUUUUAUCUUUAUCGGGUCUUUAGGCCUUUGGACUUUUAUCGUUUAUGUUAUUCCUAUUUCAGACUUUCGGUUUAUGUCGUAUUUUAUAUUUCGGAUGUUAUCGUUAUCGGGCCUUUUGGCGUUAUGCUAUCGUAUUGACUUUUAUAUUAUGGUGGAAAUUAUUAUUAUUAUUUGAGUUGUAUUAUUAUUUUA